rnacentral:rRNA from 1 species
UACGCAGGCGGUUUGUUAAGCGAGAUGUGAAAGCCCCGGGCUUAACCUGGGAACUGCAUUUCGAACUGGCAAACUAGAGUGUGAUAGAGGGUGGUAGAAUUUCAGGUGUAGCGGUGAAAUGUGUAGAGAUCUGAAGGAAUACCGAUGGCGAAGGCAGCCACCUGGGUCAACACUGACGCUCAUGUACGAAAGCGUGGGGAGCAAACA